UACGUAGGGCGCAAGCGUUGUCCGGAAUUAUUGGGCGUAAAGAGCUCGUAGGCGGUUUGUCGCGUCUGCUGUGAAAUCCCGAGGCUCAACCUCGGGCUUGCAGUGGAUACGGGCUGGCUGGAGGCAGGCAGGGGAGAAUGGAAUUCCCGGUGUAGCGGUGAAAUGCGUAGAUAUCAAGAGGAACACCUGCGGCGAAGGCGGGUUGCUGGGCCGACACUGACGCUGAAGCGCGAAAGCCAGGGGAGCGAACGGG
rnacentral:rRNA from 1 species